CUCCUACUGAAAUUGGCUCGUUGAUGCUCGUAACGGAGAUCUAAUGCGCUUUGGCUGCAAGAUUCGGUUUCUUGGACCAAGAUUUCCAAGAUUUGAAAUCUUGAUUUUCUUGAUUCUUGAAAUCGCUCCAAACAGCAAAAUUGGGCCAAGAUUCGGUUUCUUGAUUUUCUUGAAAACAAGAAAGUGAAUCUUGAUUUUCUCUUUCUUUCGUGUAAGCAUCUAAGGCCUUUGUGACUCGUAUCAUGAAGAUUGCCCAUCAUUGUUCUGAGACACAUAAAGAACCUUAUUGGUAAUCAUUUCCCUUUAGUUCCUUUACAGAAGACACCAUUUUCAUGACUUAAUAUACAUGCAAGGUUACCAAUUCAGACUAAAUGUUUAAAACGACAACAAAUUACCAGUUCAAGCUAAAUUUGUGUCACAUGUAUUUUCGAAUCUGCAACAAAUGUUGGAGCUCAGUUUCAAGCAUAUUUAUUCCCAGACACUUCAUACAUGGAAACAUACUAAGCUCAAUCUUCUUAAUCCACAAUAAGCAACCAAUAUAACACACAUCUCAUAACAUGCAUUUCAACAUUUAGAUACAACCAUGCUUCACCUUUCAUUACUCAUGCAUCAUUCAUCACAUGCUUGAACCCAUCAGACUCUGUACUAGACUUACUUAUUAUUCUUAACAAUAUUCACUCAAUCAUAGAUAUAUUUUACAAAUCAUUUACCUUACCUGUUAUACCCUUUAUGAUCUCGACAUCACCUUUCGAUUUGUUCCACACACAUCAAUGUAUGAACAAUACCACGCAAGAGCCAAUUUAGAGACUCACCUGACACCCACAAAUAUCAACUUGAACUCUAGAUUCAACAUUCAACAUGAAACUGCAACGACCACCAUUAAAACUCAU
rnacentral:lncRNA from 1 species